UCUGCUUUCGUGCUGCUGAAAGAUGCAGUUCUUCGAUUACAGUUUCCUUUCCCAGCGAACCUUAAUGUUAGACCUCUAUUUGUUUUCCGUUGACGAACUGAUUGUUAUUUUAUGAUGUGAAAUAAGUGAUGUGACAAAAAAGUCGGUUAAAGAAAGUAGUGAAUCCGGCACGUCGAUAGAAGGGCAGGCAAUGUGAGGUUUGGAGCGCACAUUUUAAGAAGAAGCGACAUUUUCAGUGCAAAAAACAACGAAAUCAACGGUCGGCAUACACAACGAUUAGUACGAGAACCUGUAUUUUGCCAUGACGUUGAAAUUUAAUUACAUCAUGUAAAGUGAGGAGCAACGUUAACGAAAUCAUUCGUGCGGUGGUGUAUAUACUCGUGAAGUUUGUGAUUGUGAUCAAUAGCGUCCACGAAGACGAGUGAGAACUUUAUAAAUUGUGGUGCAGAAAAUGUACUGAAUACACAAUGUUCUAGAAUAUUCAUAUUGUUUGGCGGCAGAACAAAAAAUGAAUACAUAAUUUAAUGGAGAAAUGGCAAAAGAUUGAUGUGAAGAUUUUAGGCGACAAGUAACAAGUCGCACGGAAUAGCUUUGGUGUUCCGUAGGCGCGAUAAAAUUCUUACCGUAUUAUUCCGUGUAUAACGACCCCCUUUUAGUUCACAAAUUAUCAAAGUCCGAUUAAGUGGGUCGUUAUACACAGGUAGUAACUUUUCUAUUCGAUCAUAGAGUGGAGGUUAAAACACGUACAACAUUGUUACAACUGAUGAAAUGUAG